GAACAUAAUGGUAGUGAUUUCAGGGGUGAGGCUGAGAUCAUAGAAGUUACCGUGGGAAUCAUCAGCGUAAACAUGGCACUUACUGUCAUAUAAAUGAUACCACACCAAUAAUGAGUAGGGAGACAGGAGAAAAGCUUCAAGGCUUGAACCUCAAUGCUUGAAUAUUACAAAGUCUCAGAAAAAGGAGGGAUAGCCACUAGAAAGAGUGAGACAAACCAAAAAGAAGAAAAAAUGAAGACGAUUUGAUGUUUAGGAAGGCAAGAGAAUGCUCCCAGAACGAGGGAGGAAACAUCUGGGUAAAGAUUGCUGAGAAGACAAGAAAGAGGAGGACCAACGUUUGAUCAUUUGAGUUGAUAUUUUGAAGAUUGUGGAUAAGAGCAGCUUUGGUGGAGUGGUGGAAUUCACGGUAGCAUCAAAAGUCUUGAGAUAGAUACUGCUGAUCUCAUGUUUGCUUUGGAUACUUUCAAAGCUGCAAAGUGUGACACAGCCUUGGAGAGGAAGAGAAAAAGUAUAAGAAAAGUGACAUGACUUAUGCUGGUUGUACAGGGAUAUCCAGUUACUAGGAAAAACCCGGAUGUUCUGACUCUGUCACACGCACUAAAUUUUAUCAAAUGACGCAAAAUAACAUGACGCAGAAGAGAGGCUAGACGGGUCGAUGGAUUGAAUGGGAAUUAAGCUAUGGUGGUUUACAACUGAUAUGAAGGUUUUAGAAAACACAAAUCGAAUAACAUCCAUCCUGGAAAAAAGGAAAGUAAAAAUUUUUCAUAAAAAAUCUGUAGACUAGUGUUUGAGAAAUUCUUGGGCAGAAUACUCUGGGAGAUAAAAAGAACUUGUGAAAGUUGUCAGAAUCAAAAUGGGGCCUCUUGUGUUAAAGACUGUGCCAAGUGGAGUCAAGGAUGGCCGUGAACAGAGGUUUCUUAUGCACAAAUACCUGAUAGCAACAACUAUCACAAAAGACUCUGCAAAAACCACAAGCUUGUGAAAGAAAGGCCCACUACAACCUUACUACACACAAAAAAAACUGUGAGGACAUCUGCACAGCAACUUCCUGUCUAACCUCGGACCGGCACCACCCUUGAUAUGGAUCCUUAUAGCUAACAAUAAUUAUCACAAAACAAUCUUAUAAUCUUCUUUAUUUUUCCUUUAAAAAUCUUUGUCUUCCUUUACCUACCUGAGUAUGCAUGUAGUUUACUAUGGUAUGGAUAUUGCCAUUACAAUGCCCAUUUGUGAAUAAAUAUCUUUUUCUUUUA